rnacentral:misc_RNA from 1 species
UUGAAUAAACUUGGUCAAGCUGUUGCUGGUCCCUAGGGACAUGUGCACGUUUGCCACCAAAUUUUACCACCUGUGCACCUUUUGUAGACUUGGAAACAGUUCUCGAGGCAACUCGGUGUGAGGACUGCUGUGCGAAAGCCGGCUGUCCUUGUGUUUCUCAGUCUAUGCUUUAUACACCCCGAAUGUAUGUAUCAGAGUGUUUUGUUGGGCCUUAGUGCCUAUAAAUCAAAUA